UCAGAGUUUUCAGCCUACAAGGGUACUCCAUUUCGCCAUGGUCUCCUUGGCAGUUGGGAUAUAGUUCUGGGUGCCUGUACUGAUAUUCCUUGGUGAGGGUCUGGGAAUCUUGAUACAGGGUGGGGAU